UGUAUUUAUGCAUAUAUAUAUAUAUAUAUAUAUAUAUAUAAAAAUUUAUCUAUGUUUAUGAGGGUAUUUAUCUAUAUAUAUCUACAUAUUUAUGUAUAUAUACACACACACAAACACUAUGUUAAAGCGCUGAAUAGUGACCUACACAUAUUCAGCAUCGAAUCAAUAUUUCUCCUGUCAGUUUUUUUCCACUGUCCACUUCUCUCUCUACAACUUCCUUCACCCAAUAAUACUCCCAAUCAGCCAGUAGUUUCACAGUUCCUCUCUUGACAUCAGGAGUGUAUUCUGUCUAUUGCCAAGACUCUUGUCUCUGAAGUAUUCCUCUCCACCAAACUAUAAUUAGGUACUCUAAUGAAUAAAGUAGUGUUAAAUUUGGAUAUCUCUUUGGGUACAACUCAGAAAUGAAUGAACACCACAUAAGAUGAUUUGCUUUAAUAAAUCUUCUUCUUUGUAACCCCUUCAAGUCUGAGAAUGAUAUUUCUGCAAGUUCUUGCUGAACAACCUGUACAGAUAAUUUGUUUAUAUUGCUAAAAUGUUUUUGUUGUGCAUUUGCUCACUCCCUCCAUCAAAUCAACAUCGCUUGUACAGGUGCACAGUGUGUUACAUGUCUGGUAUCAAAGUGAUCGCAGAGCCAUGUGAAAUUAAAUACUUUGUUCAAGAAUGCAAUGCACUAUCUAAUUUGGGAAUCAAAACCACUUUGAUAAAUAAGUUAUGCACAAAGACAAGAGCUUUUAAUAGUGAACCCCCUUGUCCCAUGAUUGCUCCUGUGAAUUACACUACAUUAUUGUAAUUCACAUGGCAAUACAAUACAUUGAAAUGCACUUAUAUAUAAUCAACAAAAAGCACUGUUUCUGUUAGUCACCAGACAUGCCUAUACUACACUGAGUCUACUUCAGGGUUACAUGUAGGAUACAUGGAUCUGUGGAAUGCUCAGUUUCUUGCACUGUAAUACAAGGUGAACCAGCCUGCAAUUCAGAUGACCAGCAUUGUCACAACACUGAGCCUGUCUGAGGAUUAUGAAUGGUUAAUUUCAUUGAAUGAAAAACUGGAACUCUUGUUGAAACCAACACAGAAUUGAUUUACUUUUAUAUAUACUAAGAAGAUACAUCUAACACAAUGUGUUAAAUCAUUUAUACUUUCACUAGUUUUAAAAGUAUUUUAGCAUGGCCUGGGUUAUAUCAUCAAAGCAAGCUUAGUUGAUAAUUGAAACAAGUAGUGUAUGUUCAUUAUCCUUGCUUGGUUUAUUCAGACUUUUACGCAGUCUUCCCAACUUCACAGCUCUCUGAGUUUGUGGCUCUUUUUUUUUAACUUUUGGGUUUUCUGAUUUUUUGGGGGGAUUUUUUUCUGGAAAUAAUUCCUUUUAACAUAAGCAAUAAACACACAGGUUUAAAAACUAAUUUCAAAUAUAUUUAAAAAUUGCCCACCAAAGAAAAGUGUUGACCUGCAUGUUUAUUGUUUAUAUGACAAACCUCAGUUGGUGACUCUUCCUCUUACAAUCAUCCCCUAUGCAUUCUGUCUUUCUCUCUGUUAAUAUGAAAUUGUAAGUUCUGAAAGUUCAUGACUGAGUAUAUGUGUGUGUGUGUGUAUAUAUAUACAUAUAUAUAUUAGAAAGUUAGAAGUUAUGGCCAGUUAUUGGUUUUGCAUCUAUAAAGCACUUAGCAGUAUAAGGAACUUGUCAGACUUAAAUGGCUGAAGGUGCAUAACCUCAUGCAUCUUCAGCCUUAUGAGUCUGAUGAGUCUCCUAUGCUGCUAAACACUUUCUAGGUGUGAAACCAAUGAUCAUUCUAUGACCAACCAUAACUUCUUCCUAAGAAAUAUAUCACUGCUCUAAUACUUUAGACUGUUCUUUUUUGGAUAUAUGGACUACUGACAAGAUAUAUAAAUAUAU
rnacentral:lncRNA from 1 species